AACGCAUGAAUCCGGCAAGGAGGCUCCUCUGGGUGGGCUGUGUGGACGCAGGCAGCUGCCAUCCAGUCCCCGUGGCACGAUGUCCCCGCCUCCUGCAGGGCCGGGCCCGCCCUAACAUCAGCCGCUCCUUCCGGGAGCUCGGGCUCCUGCCGGUGAGAAACACUGCGGAAAACAGGGUCGGCGGCCUUUCUGCAGGCACCAGGCACGCUGUCACAUGAGCCCAGACGGCACUGACUGCAGCUUCUGGGUGGCUUCUCCCAGCCCCACACAGGCAGAAGCACACAUGGGGUGAGCCUGCCCCUCCCAUCCAGCCCAGACUGCUGUGUGGCAAAGCGGGUCCCUGGACUACCUGGACCACUUACAUCUCCUCUUCAUUUCUGCGGUGGCUCUGAACCUCGUGUGGGAUAUGACUGGUCCCAGAUUUCCCUCUCCUGUGCUCACCCCUUUGAUUUAAUUUACUGUAAAGCACUGAGCAGCUUCUGCGCUGGGUGUGGGCAGGGAGCAUCCCCUCGCCCCCCUCACCGGCCUCCCUGGGGGGCCCUGGUGGCUUUCGGGGUGGCUUCCUGCAGGCCUACUUUGGAAGGUGGCCAGGCCUGUGCACACCUGGUCCCCUGCCUCACCAACAGACGACACCCGCAUGUGCACACGUGCCCUCAGUCUCCUCCUGGGACACAUCCCUGACAUCAUGGAGAAAACAAGCACAGGAUGGGACCCAGGCCCCCAGCAGGGCCCCAAGGUGGCCUGAGACCCAGGAAGAGGGGCCCAGCGCCCCCACUCGAGAGAGUCGCAGACAGAGCCCCCACGCUGCAUGCCAGCCAUCGGGAACCUGCCUGGCGGGACAAGGCCGCUCUCGCUGUGGGGUUUUCCUUUCCCUACUUUCGAAUGUUCUUUGUGUGUUAGGGACCUUCCCCUUCCACCUGAGUCACGGUUCCAAAUGUUUUCUCCCAGGUCAUUUGCCUUGCAGGCCUGCUUGUCUCUGUUCUUGUGAGGCUGUUUUUCAGGCGACUCCAUUUGUGUGUUCCUGUUUGCUUGUGCAGAUCUCUGGUGCCCCUGGAGUUUAUUCUUAUCCACGGCAUGUGGAAGGGGCCUCAGUUUACCUUUUUCCAGUCCUCUCUGGGCCUGGCCCGACAUGGAUGUAGGUGAGGGUCGGUGUGGCCCUGGGGACCGGGACGGCUCCUUGAUGCCACCCUAGUUCCCGGCAGCAGGUCUGAGCCCUGGUGCCCCCCUGUCCCAGGCCGUGUCUCCCUCUGUCACAGGCGCUGUCCUCCUCACACAGCCCUGCCAAGCGCUUCCUCCGAAGCCCUCCCUUAGCGAUCCUGUUUGUUUUUCCACAGGAUCUUUAGUGUCUAGCCCCGCUCUCUGUGGGAGCAAAGCUCAUUGUGAUUUUACUGCGUCCUCAGUAGAGUCUUUCCUUGGGGCUGCGUUGUGACGCCUUCACACAGGCUGGGAGCACCAAGACCCAAGCCACUGCUGCAGCUGGG
rnacentral:lncRNA from 1 species